CAGGCAGUAUUGGUUACAUUCAGGUUACAUUCAGUAUGCAGCUCCUGUCUUGUAUUAUCUUCAUGAUUAUUAUUACACUGACCUUCUGCAUCUGUUUCCUGACUCCCUGCGCUACAGAAUACUGCCUCAGCAAAAGAUAAGGACAUCUCCCAGCCAGUCGAUGAACAAGGACACCUAAUCCGCCAACACCACAUCCACCACUGUCUCGACACCACCCAAGAGGAUUCACCUCCAACCAGCAGAGGGCCUUCUACCACAAGCCGUCCCAGCAAGCCAGUCCCCCAGACUACCCAGCAGGCCGCUCAGGUCAGUGAUUCCAUGGCUUCCUACUACAGUGCUCCCUCUAUUUCGCUCAUCAGAUGGCAGCCCCCACCACCGCGACGUCCAAGGUUGCCACGGUCAUUUCCCUACUGACCAGGCGGGCGCUGGAGUGGACUACGGCUGCCUGGGAGAGAGGAGAGGAAGAUCUGGGUUCUUACGAGGGGUUCAUAGCUAUAUUCAGGGUGUUUUUUGACCAUCCACCAGAGGGCAGAGCGGAAGGUGAGAAACCAUUCCAACUCCGGCAGGGUGCCCAGACCGCUGCAGAGUACACCCUCACCUUCCGGACCGUGGCAGCCUCCAACGGAUGGAAUGAAUAGGGUGUACUCCACACCCUAUUCUGAAGAGGACUGCACGAGGAGGUCCAGACAUAGUUGGCGUGAGACACCUGGGGCUGUGUCCCUAUUGAGACCAGGAGGGGCACUGGCUCCAGCAGUGUCCGGUGCGUCCCAACCCGGAGUCCACUGGGACAGAGGGACUUCCCCGUGAUCAUUCAUCUCCCAGGGUCGGUGUGAGUGUUCCUUCAUCAUCAUUUUACACCAUACCCUUCAUGGUUUCCAUUUCACUGGCUGGCUGUCUCUCAGGUGUUGUCUCUAAAGCUCUAGUGGACUCUGGUGUCGCUGGGAAUUUUAUCAACCAGGCCCUCAUCUCCUUCCUGAACAUCACCGCGUACCUGCUCUCCUCUCCUUUUCCGGCCCAAGCCCUUGAUAAACAACCAUUGGAAUCCGGCACUAUCACGCACAUCACAGCACCACUCACCCUUACCGUGGGACACUUGCACCAAGAAAGCCUUCCAUUCCUCAUCCUCGGCCUUCCGUGGCUCCAACGUCAUGACCCCACCAUCUCCUGGUCGAGGAUGAAAAUCACUGCCUGGGCACCUGAAUGUCCCUUACCUUGCGGUUCCACAUCGAUUGAGAGCCAUGUGAGUGACCUCCAGCCCAUCAAUCUGUUCUCCCAUAUUGUUGGCCCUGUGUUUUGGGACAUAGAUGUGGACAUCCACCAGGCUCUGGAGAGUGAACCUGCGCCUGCUACCUGCCCUCCUGAGCACAUCUACGUCCCCACGGAGAGGAAUCUACAGGACGAAGCAGGUCUGGCUGGAAACAUUGAGGACUCAUACAAGAAACUAAACCAAGGGACCUGAAGAAUUGUCAAUACUGUGGACAGAGAAGAAUUUAUGCAGCAACAUUUGGCUUCAAUUGAAUGACGAGAUUUAUACGUUUACAUGUUGAAAUGGUAUGUUUUAGUUUGUGUUUUUUGUGUGGGACAUUUAGACACCACUUUUUGACAGAUAAUGAAUGCAAUGUACAUCCUCACCAGACAUUCCUGCCGGAUCAAGCCACGCUCCCUCCCUAUGUAGCUAAAUGGUCUCUUUCCAAAUUAACUCCACAGGAAGAUGGUGUCACUGUAGAUAUCUAAAAUACUCUAUUGUUUGCUUACGUCUGAGGUGGUAAAGGUGCUCAUAUCACUGAAAGUGUUACAUUGAAAUUCAUUGCUGAGAAUGUCCAAAUCCAACAGAGUAUAUUAAUUUAAUUUCACCGUUGCUUUCACUGUAAAUGUCCAUUAAUAUGUUAUUAACACUUUUAUUUGCAUUUAUUUGCACCAAAGAAAACAAUUGCUAGACAACAGUACAGAUAUCUUUUUUUUCUUAAACAAUGUGCAGGUGUGUUUGGAAGCCCAAGGGCUUACAUGAAAAACACGCCACAAAAAAAACCAAUAUAUAAUACAUCAGUACAAAAUAAAAAAAGGUUUGUUAAAACAUAACGAAAUUUACUAAUUAUACAUGUAUAAAUGAAUUGAACUGUAAUAUUUGUUUUGUUUAAAUGUGCGUGCCUGUGAGUGCUAGGCUAUAUGGAGAAGAUUACUGAGGAGUUUGGUUCAUCAGGCUGACCCCCAGUCUUCACUUGUAGUUAUUGAGGGAUAAUGAUGUUUUGGCAAUGUGAAGAUAAGAAUUCCAGAGUAUGGUACCUCUAUAUCUGAUAGUCAGUUCUCUAUGUGAGGUUCGGCAGUUGGGAGGGUGAAGGUUAUCACAGUGUCUUGUAUUAUCUACACUGAAAAACCCAACAAGUUCUGUGAACUCAUUUUUUUGGGGGGGAAAACGAUCACCUAAAAGAAACAUCUGUUAAACUCAAAAGUUAAAAGUAAGGUCACACCUAAUUAUUUUUGAAUUACUUGUAGUUAACCUAAUGGUUUCAUGCAAACUCUUUUUAACUGUACUUAACUUUAAAAGAUUGUUUAAUUAAUUGAAAACAUUCAAUUGCUGCAUAUUUAAUUGCUAUGCUUUCUCUGUAGCG
ensembl:lncRNA